CUGGGUGGGGGUUGGGGAGCAGACACUUGCAAGGGGGGGCGGGUACUAAUUCUACUAAUUCUUCUUGCUACUUGACCCAGUAAUAGAGUCAGAUCUCAACAUGAAAGUAAAUAAAUGGCUCCAGGGAGACAAGCCUGUAAAUCUUCAGAGUGAUACAUUAUCUCUAGCUUCCAAAGCCUUUGCUAUUUAUAUCUCCUCUUUACUUAGAAAGCCUGGAUUAUGUAAAAGCAUGAAAAUAUUCAAGGAGAGUAUCUUUCAACAAUUCAUUAUGAAGAACAGCAAGGACACUCUUGGCCCACAGGAAUUUCUGGUAGCACCUCAUUAAUCUUGACCUCCCAAGAAAUCAAAUAGAUGAGAGCUUACUAGAAUACUUCAUGACUUAUAUAAAAGAGAGAAAAAAGCCUUCUAGAUCUGGCCAAAAAUCUGACUUGAAUCAGUACAAUGAAAAAUCAUGGCCUUGUACCCAGUUUUUAGACUAAAUUAAAGCCAGGCUACCAAUAUAGAGCACCUUGAUUGAAAGGGAGGCUGGUCCUGCCUGGGACAUCAGAUAAUUAUGCAGCCUGAGUUUUCCCUCUUUAACCCAUUUAUUCAUAAAGUUGGGUGUGUGCAGCAAGUAUCAUCAAGUAGAAAUAAUAGAUAAAAAGUGUGUUUGAGCAAGACCAGGAUAUACAGGUAAGUUGCAUAAGCAAAUGUUUCAGUUGUUUUUUUUUGAAACUGAUUUUUUUCUUCAUGGCCUCCUUUCCUUCAGUCCCCAUCUUUUGACUCAUGAGAAUUCCAUACAACCAGUUGACUGAAAAUGAAACACUGGAGCCUGGUUUACAUCUGGGUCUGCAAGAUAUUCUGGUCCUUCCUGAAAGUGCAGUACCUGAAAGUAUAAUUGCAACAUUAUAUCCCCAUCCUCCACUCAGAAUACCUGCAAAUAUCAAGGACCCACUCUUAAUCACAGUUUUAUGCUGUUUUUCUCUAUAUGUUCAAAUAAAACAGAAAAUCUGA
rnacentral:lncRNA from 12 species